CACUGGGACUGAGACACUGCCCAGACUCCUACGGGAGGCUGCAGUCAAGAAUAUUCCCCAAUGGCCGAAAGGCUGAGGGAGCGACGCCGCGUGGUGGAAGAAGCUCUUCGGAGUGUAAACACCUUUUAUCAGGGACGAACACAUGACGGUACCUGAUGAAUAAGGGGCUGCUAAACUCGUGCCAGCAGCAGCGGUAAUACGAGUGCCCCAAGCGUUAUCCGGAUUUAUUGGGCGUAAAGCGUCUGUAGGUGGUUAAGCAAGUCACAUGUCAAAUCUAUAGGCUCAACCUGUAGGCUGCAUGUGAAACUACUUAGCUUGAGGACGGGAGAGGCAGAUAGAAUUGCCGGUGUAGGGGUAAAAUCCGUUAAUAUCGGCAAGAAUACCAAAUGCGAAAGCUUUCUGCUGGAACGAUCCUGACACUGAGAGACGAAAGCGUGGGGAGCGAAUGGGAUUAGAUACCCCAGUAGUCCACGCCGUAAACGAUGGAUGCUUGACAUUGGCAGUAUCGACCCUGUCAGUGUCGCUUAAAUCAAGUUAACACCUUAAGCAUCCCGCCUGGGUAGUACGGCCGCAAGGCUAAAACUCAAAGGAAUUGACGGGGACCCGCACAAGCGGUGGAGCAUGUGGUUCAAUUCGAUGAUAAGCGAGGAACCUUACCAAGGUUUGACAUGGCGCUGCAAAUCCUAAGAAACUAGGAUGCCUUAGAGGGUGCGCCACAGGUGCUGCAUGGUUGUCGUCAGCUCGUGCCGUGAGGUGUACCAUUAAGUUGGAUAACGAGCGCAACCCCUACUCUGUGUUAAAUUAUUCACAGAGAACUGCCCCGCCCUUUCCUUAUUAGCAUUAGCUAGUAAUGAGGGGGCGGGGAGGAAGGUGGGGAUGACGUCAAAUCAGCAUGGCUCUUACACCUUGGGCGACACACGUGCUACAAUGGCCAGUACAAAGGGUCGCUAAGCGGAAACGCGGAGCUAAUCCCAUCAAAACUGGUCUCAAUUCGGAUUGAGGUCUGCAACUCGACCUCAUGAAGCUGGAAUCGCUAGUAACCGUGCAUCAGCCUUGGCACGGUGAAUACGUUCUCGGGUCUUGUACACACCGCCCGUCACGUCAAGGGAGUCAGUAGUACCUAAAUGCUGCCGUAGGGUGGUAAAAGGUAAGACUGAUAACAGGGACGAAGUCGUAACAAGGCAUCCGUAGCGGAAGCUGUGGAUGGAUCACCUCCUUUCUA
rnacentral:rRNA from 1 species